CUGUGAAUCAUGUAGCCGUGAGACCACAGGAUUAACCUCACGCCUCCACUACUGAGGACAAGUGGCUGUAUAGAGAUGCUGCUUUUACACAACCAAGCCGGCCUUUCUGGAGGAUCCUGAUCCUAUAGGCAAAAGGGUGAUGGUGCAUAGAUGAGCUGGAAAAGAAGGAGGGAUCGACUCUUCAUUCUUUGAGCCUGGAGGAAAGAAAGUAGAGGUUUACCUCAAAAACUGUGAAAUGGGCUGGCAGAGAAGUGGAAGCGAAUUCUCCAUUAAUUAAAAAAAAAAAGAGUUGUUGGAAAAUUUGAUCUCUAAUAUACACGAUGAUUAAAAAAUA